CUGGCUCCCAUCUUUCCUCUCCUGGGAGUUCAUCACACACCCCAAGAGGGAAGAGUGUCCUGGGCAGAGGUGGCAGGCAAAGCCAGGGUAAAAACUCCAGGGCUGGGAAGCAAAUGGGGCUCAGGGUGAUGCAGAAAAUGUGACGUUGCCAGGCCAUCCAAAUAAAGCAUCCAUCAGGGCAGAGGAGAAGCUGUUUCCCUGCAGAGACUCCUCUGCCCCCACCAGGAAUGAGAGGGGCAGGAGGAAGAGCUUCCCAGAGAGGCUCCCUACUGGGCCCUUCGUGCCAUCAGCAUCUCCCGGAUGUUGUUCUCAGCUUCCUUAACGCUCCGCUCCAGGUAAGGAAACUUAAACGAUGGCCAAAGAACAGAAGAGGAAAGACAGUAGUAACUCAGUGACCUGGCUCCCAAAGCAGUGAAUUUCCCUGGAACAACAUGGUUAAGGUUCUUCCAAAGUAUAACUAAAAGAUCACAGGAUCUGGACUGAAGAACAAGAAGUCACAAGCUUAAAGGAAAAAAAAAACUAGAACAGUAUGAAAGAGAACACAGUUGCUUUCCUUUUGCCCCAUGGAACUAGCUUCCAAUUAUUGAGCACUUACUAUGUAACACUGUAUAUGUAUUAUUUGUGAUAUAUAAGUUAUUGGCGGUACCCAAAGAACCAAGAAUACUAUAACUCAGACUGUAGAGCUCAUAAUUGGCUUUAUUUAUUUGAGGCAAAGAAAACUGUGGAAGGAGACACUGAACCCCCAAACAGAAAGUUGAGAAUAAAAAGGAGAGAGUUUCACCCAUAAUCUUUUUCCUAUUCAUUUUAAUAUAUUGUAAACAUAUAGUUUUGUAUCUUAAAAUUCUUAUUGUAUCUUUAUUCUUAAAUUUGUUUCUCAAAUAUUCAAACCACAAAUUUAAAAAUAUUUGGUUUUAAAUGAAUAUUUUUUAAAAACUGAUUUGAACUUAUCUCUAUGAAAGUCCUACUUUGUUAAAUCUGCAUUUUCAAAAGCAAUCAUUUCUUCCUAAUAACUAGCAACUUAGACUUAAAGGUGGUAAGGGACCCACAGCACAGUCUUUACAUUUUAUUUAAAUUUGACAUAGCCUCAGGAAAUAAUCUGUAACUUCUUUGCUAUUAAGCUGGGUUUUUUAAAAAAACACCAUUUGGGAGGCCAAGGCAGGAGGAUUGCUUGAGGCCAGACGUUUGAGACCAGUCUGAGCAACAUAGCAAGGCCUCAUCUCUGAAAAUAAUUUAGCAAUUAGCCAGGUGCGGUGGUGUGUGCCUGUAGUCCCAGCUACUCCGGUGGCUGAGGCAAGAGGGUCACUUGAGUCCAGGAAUUUGAAGUUGCAGUGAGCUAUGAUUGCACCACUGCACUCCAGCCUGAGCAACAGAGGAAGGCCCUGCCUCUAAAGAAUAAAAAUAAAAAUAAACCACUCACAUCGUUCUAAUCUCUAAACAACUAUUGAAGCGCUUCACUCUCCAGCCUCCCACCACUAUCAUACACCCAAAGCCUUAAGUAAAUGAUAAUUCAUUUAAAUUAACAGAAAUCAUUUAAAUGUAUUUCCAAAAUAUAUUUAUGCUUUGUAUGUUUUGUUCAUUUGCUAUUAAUAUAUCCUCCAAGCAAUUUGAAAUGUCAUAAAAUUAAUAAUGCAAGAGUAAGGUAAUUAAUUGCUCAAACACUUUAACAAAGAAAUUCCUCUCUUGGCAAUUUAUCUGAAGAAAAUAUUUUUUUAAUUGAGUGAAAUAUUUACAUAAAGAUAUUCAUGGUAUGUAAUGGUAUAAGAAUAAAACAUAAUUAUACAAUAAUAAAAACACCAGAAGCCACCUAAAAACUGGCUUAGUAAAUUACGUGCUAUCACUAAGAUUAUGUUGCCAUUAUGAAAACUCUGAAAGCCAG
rnacentral:lncRNA from 1 species